rnacentral:rRNA from 1 species
GCUAAACGCGAAGAACCUUACCAGGCCUUGACAUCCAAUGAACUUUCCAGAGAUGGAUUGGUGCCUUCGGGAACAUUGAGACAGGUGCUGCAUGGCUGUCGUCAGCUCGUGUCGUGAGAUGUUGGGUUAAGUCCCGCAACGAGCGCAACCCUUGUCCUUAGUUGCCAUCAUUAAGUUGGGAACUCUAAGGAGACCGCCGGUGACAAACCGGAGGAAGGUGGGGAUGACGUCAAGUCAUCAUGGCCUUUAUGGCCAGGGCUACACACGUGCUACAAUGGCAGGUACAGAGGGAAGCCAACCAGCAAUGGGGAGCCAAUCCCAGAAAGCCUGUCCUAGUCCGGAUUGCAGUCUGCAACUCGACUGCAUGAAGUUGGAAUCGCUAGUAAUCGCAGAUCAGCAUUGCUGCGGUGAAUACGUUCCCGGGUCUUGUACACACCG